CAGUCGCCACGGGAAUACGUAGGUGGCAAGCGUUGUCCGGAAUUAUUGGGCGUAAAGGGCUCGCAGGCGGUUUCUUAAGUCUGAUGUGAAAGCCCCCGGCUCAACCGGGGAGGGUCAUUGGAAACUGGGAAACUUGAGUGCAGAAGAGGAGAGUGGAAUUCCACGUGUAGCGGUGAAAUGCGUAGAGAUGUGGAGGAACACCAAUGGCGAAGGCGACUCUCUGGUCUGUAACUGACGCUGAGGAGCGAAAGCGUGGGGAGCGAACAGGAUUAGAUACCCGCGUAGUCCCUGUCUCUUAUAC
rnacentral:rRNA from 1 species